rnacentral:rRNA from 1 species
ACGGGUGAGUAACACGUGGGAACGUACCUUUUGGUUCGGAACAACACAGGGAAACUUGUGCUAAUACCGGAUAAGCCCUUACGGGGAAAGAUUUAUCGCCAAAAGAUCGGCCCGCGUCUGAUUAGCUAGUUGGUAGGGUAACGGCCUACCAAGGCGACGAUCAGUAGCUGGUCUGAGAGGAUGAUCAGCCACAUUGGGACUGAGACACGGCCCAAACUCCUACGGGAGGCAGCAGUGGGGAAUAUUGGACAAUGGGCGCAAGCCUGAUCCAGCCAUGCCGCGUGAGUGAUGAAGGCCCUAGGGUUGUAAAGCUCUUUUGUACGGGAAGAUAAUGACGGUACCGUAAGAAUAAGCCCCGGCUAACUUCGUGCCAGCAGCCGCGGUAAUACGAAGGGGGCUAGCGUUGCUCGGAAUCACUGGGCGUAAAGGGUGCGUAGGCGGGUUUUUAAGUCAGAGGUGAAAUCCUGGAGCUCAACUCCAGAACUGCCUUUGAUACUGGGAAUCUUGAGUAUGGAAGAGGUGAGUGGAACUGCGAGU